GGACAGGUUGAGAGGUGAGAUCAGGCAGGAGAUUCUAUGGACUAUGAUGGUUGCAGACGUCACUGUGAUCCAUAAUGGGAGAAGAGACCAGGUGGAAGAGUCUGUGAGAGGUGGUGAUAUGCUGGUUCCUGAGAAGAGAUGAAGAAAUCAAAGUCAGCUUUUCAAGACAGCCCCAAGACUCUUCGCAACUUGUGUUCAAAUGUGAGGCUGUUGUCAGGUGAUGAAUGCAAGGAAGAGGCACUCAACUGACAUGAAACAUGUCAAAGACAACAUGAAGGUGACAUUUUAACAUAGGCAAAAAGUGGUUCAAGAACCUGCCACAGCUUCCACUGUCCUGGACCUUUUCCCAAGAUGUAAGAUGUACCCAACUGGAUACACCUGGCUUGAUUGACUAAGACUUCAUAAUUUGUUGGGGAGGAAGUGUCUGCUAAGUUCCUUGCAAAGUGGCCAACCAAGCCAAGGAUCAUCAAAGAUUCAAAAAUCUGUCUCAGAGUACAGAAUUGGAUGAGUUGCUCAUUUCUGCACCGCGUUACACUUACCACCCUUGUCAAAUUUGGGACUGCGAGGCGGCUGCCAUGUUUUGCUGCUUCACUUGUUACCUCCAACAUCUAAGGGAACGACGUCUUCAAAGAUUAGCACAUCAGAUGCUGCUCACCACCUAAUGAAAUUCAUCAAGGUGGGAGGUAGCACGGAGGCUUUACUUAAGGCUGGCCCCACUCAGCCAUCCGUCCUGUGUGUUGGAGAAAGAAAGAACAUCAUCCAGAG
ensembl:lncRNA